UACGGAGGAGGCAAGCGUUAUCCGGAAUUAUUGGGCGUAAAGCGUCCGCAGGUGGCACUUCAAGUCUGUCGUCAAAGACUGAGGCUUAACCCUGGAAAGGCGGUGGAAACUGAAGCGCUAGAGUGCGGUAGGGGUAGAGGGAAUUCCCGGUGUAGCGGUGAAAUGCGUAGAGAUCGGGAAGAACAUCGGUGGCGAAAGCGGUCUACUGGGCCGCAACUGACACUCAGGGACGAAAGCUAGGGGAGCGAAUGGG
rnacentral:rRNA from 1 species